AUUGAACGCUGGCGGCAUGCUUUACACAUGCAAGUCGAACGGCAGCGGGGGCUUCGGCCCGCCGGCGAGUGGCGAACGGGUGAGUAAUGCAUCGGAACGUGCCCAGUCGUGGGGGAUAACACAUCGAAAGAUGUGCUAAUACCGCAUACGUCCUGAGGGAGAAAGCGGGGGAUCUUCGGACCUCGCGCGAUUGGAGCGGCCGAUGUCGGAUUAGCUAGUUGGUGGGGUAAAAGCCCACCAAGGCGACGAUCCGUAGCGGGUCUGAGAGGAUGAUCCGCCACACUGGGACUGAGACACGGCCCAGACUCCUACGGGAGGCAGCAGUGAGGAAUAUUGGUCAAUGGGCGAGAGCCUGAACCAGCCAAGUCGCGUGCAGGAAGAAUGUCCUAUGGAUUGUAAACUGCUUUUGCAGGGGAAUAAAGUGAGCCACGUGUGGUUUUUUGUAUGUACUCUGCGAAUAAGG
rnacentral:rRNA from 1 species